GUAAGGGAACAGUAGCCUACAGGGUAGAUUCAAUAUCUUCCACUUUAUUAAAGCUUUUUAUCAUACACCAAAAAAAAUUUUCACAGGACCUCUGCCUCUCUAACUAACACUAUGAAGCAAAGAAGACUUACCCCAAAUGCACCUUUCCUAUAAUCCAGAAGGAGAAGAACCAGAGACAUAGCCCACUAAGGAGUUUGACAAGAGAAGAGUUCUUAUGUGGAAGUGGCAACAAAACUGGUUGAUCCAUCAUGUCCAAUCAUGAAGCAGACUGCAGUACUACAGGUCCAAAUCUUGUAAGGCAUGGCUGAUUGCAGUUAAAUAGACAGACCAGCACAAACUGCACAAGAAACACAACUCUGUCAAAAAAAGGACUGAAGUGUUACCAUUAAUUAUUCUGGACCAUGUGCUCAUUUACAACAGAUCUAACAUGAGAAAUAUUCUCAGAGGUGUCAAGCAGCCUCACUUACAUAGGUGAAGGGGUGGCACUGACUAAACAUUUGAGUGACUUGAAUUAGGUGACCUGCCAGAGACCCCCAGAAGCAUGGGGAUGUAGUGUGCAAUUUGUGUUUCAGCUUUCAAUAAAUAAUUUAAAUUGGGCCACUAUCUCCAGGCAUUUCUAAAGGAUCUACAUGCUUACUUCUUGAUUCAAGCUGCAUGUGAAUUCUUUUCUCAGAAAAGAAUUCACAAUCAACCAGGAAUUUGUGUUGGUGAUUGCUAAAAAGGUCCCACAUAAUUUUAAUGAAAAGAUGUUGCAUCUUGAAAACAAAUGUUUGCCUAAUGCUUGUAGAGAGUGCAUGCCCUUAAUGCUUUAGCACAUAAGUUCGCUUGUAGGUGCUAGUGGCCACCUUGCAUUCUUUUUGUGAGCUCAUUGGGGAGAUUUAAAAUUGGGGAGCAAAAGCUAUUUUAUGCGAUUUAGCUGACAAGUUACAGAAUUUUUACUAUUCAUGAUUAUAAGUAAUAUUAGCAGUGAAUAGGUCAUAUGAUCCAUCAGUCAAUCACACUUAUUCUGGGCUUUGUAGGAUGUCAAUUGGUUAUUUUCAGAUGGAAAAAAAAAUAUAUACAGAUACCAGCAAAUAGGUUACUCUUUAUGAAUAUUUAAGCUAGAUCCAUUAUCGAUAAGAGAAUCCUUGUCCAAUUAAAUAUUUAAGAUAGGAGACAUGUUCAUUAAACGUUCCCACUUGCCUAUUCUAGUAACUCUUAAAUCCUAGUUCUUCUCUCAAAUCCUGACCUGUUCCCCUAACCAGUUUUACAAAUGUGACUUUUCUGCUCUAAAGGACAGACCUUAUGUCUAUAAAUUAUACCUUGCUCUUAAAAAGAGAAUGAAUUCUUAGCCUCAGUGGAUACAAUUCUUAGCCUCAGUGGAUACGAUCCAGCCCAUCCAUGGAUCCUUCUUCAUAAACCAGGCAACUCCCAGGGAUAUUCUCUUGAUGAACAUACAGUGGAUAAUCCAAAUCUUGUGGUCCCAUGUUAUUUCCUCAACUUUACCCAAAGAUCCUACAAGUAUACAGACUAUGGACAUAAUUUUAAAAUGCAUUUUUCUUUGGAAUUACAAUAGUUCCAAACAUUUUGAAACAUUUUUGUGAAAGAAUUCUGAACAAAGAUUUUUUUUUCUAUCUUUAAGAUAACAAUUCUUCCAAACAAAACUGAAGUGUUUUAGUUUGGUUUAGUUUGAUUUGAUUUAAAUUUUAUUUUGUUGAUAUAGAUAAAAUAAAACAUUUUACAGCAAAAGAGAGUCAGCUCAAAAUGAGAAAUCAAAAGGCUUCAUUCCAAAAAUGUUGACUUGGUUGGAACUUUUCUGAAGUUCUGGCAACAUGACUAAACAUGACUUUAGAACACUGAUUUUGAGGAAACUGUUUCUCCAAGGAAAAUGGUCCUUUUGGCUACUCUUAUUUAUAAUCCUUUAAUGGGAUUGUAUAAACACAUUCUUCCAUCAAGCUCUACAAUCUCUAGAACAUGGCCUGAAUAAAGAUAGGUCAAAAUCUAGGUCAAAAAGGAAGUCUUUUGUCCAUCUCAUUAGGCAUAUCCAGGUGAGCAGGAAUAUUUGUUUCCCCAGGGACAGGUAGCAGUGGCACACCUUGAGCCGCUGCUAGUUGUCCUUAGGGAACACCCAUGCCACCUGCGCUCUGGCAUGCAGCAGAUUACUUUGGGUGGGGUAAGGGAGGCUGGGGCCAGCAACUAUACUGGACCCUAGGUAAGGCUGCUGGGGCCAAGGGACCUCUAGGAGCUGCAGCUGUCACAGGUGACUGGUGGGGGGGGGCAUGUGCCUCCCCUGAGAUUGGCCCCCAACUCAGAACUGCUUAGGA